UCGUUCGACACUGUAGGACUACUAUUGUACUCAAAAGAGGGCGCAGUAGAGUGAGUAGACUAGAAAAUGGCGGAUAAUGAUGACUUGGAACUUGACUCAGAAGGGAACACGGGGACCACACUGAGUCCUUCUGUGAGAAAGAAUAUUUCUCUCAAACUAAAGGGAAAAGGAAGAGGUAGAGGUCGAAAAGGAACAAGAGUAAGAAAAGUUUUAGGUAAAAAAUGUGGUGGUGGUGGUGGAACCAUUUCAGUAGGUGAAGAGGAGGAGGAAGAAGAGAAUGACAUGAAAGCGGGGGAGGAGGAAAUUUCAAAUGCUAAAUAUAAUCUUGAUGAAGACAUCUCUAAACUUGAAACACCAACUUUCACUACUAUCAGUAGAGGACCUGCAGAACCCCUUCAUCAGAACAAGCAGUUGCAUUGGAAUCAUAAAAUCAAUCUGAUUGGAGAAAAGGUAGUCAAUCCUAUGAUCCAUUGUUGUGAAAAAUGUGCUGUUCCCAUUUUGAUUUAUGGGAGAAUGAUACCAUGCAAGCAUGUAUUCUGCUAUGAUUGUGCCAAAAAAGCAGAGAAAAUAUGCCCAAGGUGUUUUGAUAAAGUACAGCGUGUUGAGCAAAGUGCUUUAGGUACAGUAUUUAUGUGUACGUACAGAGGAACACGUCACGGUAAUGGAGGCUGUCGUAGAACUUACCUUAGCCAGCGAGAUCUUCAGGCACAUAUCAGCCAUAGGCAUCUUAGACCUCCAGCAGCUCCAGCUCCAGUUAUUUCUACAACAGUCCCUGUGCCCACACAGAUGGCACCACCUACAAUAGCAGCUCCAGCUAUUACUGCUACAUCUAUGAUUCAUGCCUCAUCUCAUCUUGAUAUUCGAGCACUCGGCUCCACUGAUCACACUCAUACACCCCCACACAUGCCUCAAGUUUCUCAACCUCAGCAUCCUCAUCCUCACCCUUUGCCAGCCCAGCAAGAUUACAGAGAUCCUAAUGAGCCACCUCGUAACCAGGUUCCUGUUCCUAUCCCUACACCAGUUCCACCUCCACGAACAUCCCACCCCUACCCACAUCCUACAACAACCAUGGGGCACCAUCCCCAUGCAUCAUACUCAAGCCCAAUCCCUAUUGUCACCACCCGUUCGAACUUGAUCACAGUACCUAUUCAAGAUGAUAGCAAUACACCAGGGAUUUCACCACUUCAGCAACUUCCACCUCCUCCUGCUCCAGCUCCUCAACCACCACCCAUCCAACAGCAUCCCACACCUCCUAGUCCCUAUCCUCCUCCUCAUCAUCAUUACCAACAUCCUCCUCCACCAGCCCCUAACCCAUCACCUUAUUCCCAACCACCACAACCAGCUUAUGCAUCACCUCCAACCCAAAAUUUUAGUCAGUCAGGUCCGUUGCCUACUCAUCUUCCUCCGCCUCCCAUUCACCAGUCUAAUCCCCCUAUGUUUUCUGCACCUCCUCCCCCUGUGCACCACAACCCCCCACCUACAUACUCUACACCACCUCCACAUACACUGCCCCCACCACCACAACAGUAUCCACCUUCCUCACACUACAAAGAAUCAGGGUCAUAUUGCCAGCCAUGGGGUUCAGGUCCCCCUCCCGCUAGAGCUCCACUUCAUCCUCGUCCCAUGAGUAGACCCCCAGGGAAUCCUAACAUAGGGAUGCCACAACCACAUGGCUCAGCCGACCCAAAAUAUAGACAUCCAUACUACUAGGGCAUAAUUUUUGCCAUAAAAAUUGAUGAACUUAAACUGAAUUGAAUGCUUGCAACUUCUGGUUUGUAAAAUAGUGGACUUUGUUGUCAAUUCAUAAUACUACUUUCAUUUAUGUUUAUGUAUCAACUUGUAUAAAACUGGCUUUCAUUUUGACUUUACAAUAUCAUCUUUAAACUUAACAUAAAAUCAGUCAAAUAGUUGUACAUGUCAUUUUUCUGUUUAAGCUUGAUUUAUCUUUAUUAAUUUGUCUUGUUGUUGAAAAAGAAUUAACAUUAGCUUUGUCUGAAGGUUCUUGUAAAUAUGUUCACAUAAAUAUAACAGAUUUGUUAGAACAAAGUUCAUUAAAAUAUUAUUUUGAAAGCAUAUUAAGUUUAAAUUGUUUGGUUAAUACUAUGCAUAAAUUUUUCCUUAAAAAUAUUCUCUGACAUUCUAUAAUGUGACCAUAGUGUAAUACAUGUUUUGAAAAUAUUAUAGUCAUUAUUCAUAUUGGUAUGUUCUAUAUAUAAAAGGUCAGAGAAUACUUAAAACCAUAAUCUGAGCAGUAUAAUAAGUUUCUUAUAGAUGUAACAAUAAAGCUGUUAGUCAAAAGCAAUCUGUAUAAAAUCAGAAUAUAUAAUUGCUAUUGUAGUAUUUCUGUAAGGAUUUUUUUUCCCUUCUUUCCCUUGAUCAAAUGGACAGUAGUGAUCACUGAUCUAUAUAUAUAUAACCUGGAUCAUGCUCUCUCUGUCUGCCAUGUUACUAUUCCCAAAACAAUCACACGUGUUACAGGUGUAUGAAGCUGCUCUGUAUUGAUCACAUACAGGCUAGGUUUACUGAUGCUCUGGAGUGGAUUGAACAAGAAAUACAAAGCCCAUGUUUCACCAUUUUCUAUAAAUGUAUCGAUGCGCUGGUUUGCAGAUUGAGUUAUUUGAAUUUUUAUUGUUGUAUCAGCUAUGGAACUAACCUAUACUGGUAUUUUAAAUUAGAUUUUAAUGCAUAACCCUCUCAUAAAAUUAACAGACUAGCUUAUUUGACCUGUCUGUAUUCUGUAACAGAUGGAACUUAUUAAAGUUUUAUUAUCCAAUGUUAUUGUAUGUCAUAAUUAUAGUAUGACAGCAAGUAUUUUUUAUAUUUAUAUGAAAGCUUUAUGAAUGAAUACACAUCAAAUUCUUUUGAUAUAUAUAUAUAUAACAACAUAGUGCCGAACAUCUACAAGGUCUACAGGUAAUACAAGCAACACUAAACUGAACCGUCCAUGUACAUGAUCAAAAUGAUUCAAGUAAAGUAUCUUCUCAACAAAUGUGAAAAUUAUGGAAAUACAAUGCAAGACAUCAACAUUAUGUGCAUGUACAUAUUACUUGCUGUUGUGUUGGUGUCAUUGUAAUUAGUCAGGCCUAUCAGCCCAGACCUACUUGUAAACUAUUGAAGAACAAUGAAUGAAAAUAUAUAGAAUGACUAUGGAUAAUUUUAAGCAUCAUCAUUAUAAUUUGUGUAAAUUACAUUUAUAUGAGAGAAACAAUUACUCAAAAUGUCAUUAACUUACAUGACAAUAAAUGAAUAUUUAACACAUUCACAUGAUAUGAUAUUCACAAUAACACAUCUAUGAAAAAAAAUUGUGUUCAGAAAAAAAACCUUUACAAACAUAAGAUUUCAUGAUUAUUAUAGAUGAACCAAACAAUAGAAUAUAAAAUGUAAACAAUUCCAUUCUACCAUAACAUAUUAUCUGGUGUUGUUUUCAUUUUCACUGGUGUUUAAACAAUGCUAACUUUGAAAACUGCAUCCACACCUUAUCACCAGUAAUUUUUUCUGUGUACGUUCUAGCAAUAUUAUGCAUCCUUAUUUUUCAGUAACAGGAUGACAUACAUUUUAUGACCUUGAAUACAUGGUUAUUCUCUGGUGUCUUAUCAAACAUAUGAUCUGACAAAGGGUUGAAGACUGUAGCACAUGAUAGUUGGUGUAGGACCACAUUUGAUGCUUGUAAUGGUUUACCAUCAUUCAUCUUCAGUACCUGUUGAAACAUUUCUCCGUCUCCUUACACACCUUGAUAAUACUGUAGGAAGCUCUUGUCAAUCCACCUCUAUCUUUUCAAUCCAGAAGGAAUAACUUUGGUGUAGAUUUCAUGUCAAUUUCAUUUUCAGCAUACAGAGCUGCUAUCAAAUAGAGCACUGAAUACAACGUUGGGCUGUGGUAGUGACAUAACCUGCGAUAUAUCCUAUAGAAGCUUCCUUUAAAGUUGAGAGAGGACUGAAGAUAAGAGCUUCUGUUACUUCAUGAUCAUCUUCCUCUUCUGUUGCAGAUAACUCCAAACCAUACUGCUUUGCUGUUGGCACAUCAUAUGUACCUGUCUCAGUGUUGUGCAUCAUCUGUGGUGACAUUGUGUAUACUAGUAUUAUCUGGUGCUAUGCAAUUACCAUGGGAACUCUUGACUUUGUGUCUCAUCAGAAGGCAUUUGUAGGCAAUAACAAACUGGCGAACCUUUGGGUUGUUAAAUUCUCCUGUGGGUCGAACUGCCCCAUAGAAAAGCUGGCUCAUCUUGUAUGUCAGUAGGUACUUCGAUGGAGCUUUGGUGUCCUCUACCAACUCAUUGUACAGGGUAGUUACAUUAAGAACUGCAGUCAUAAAACCGAUGAAUGGGGUCUUUCUUUUGAUGCUCAUCAUGCACUCUCCAGUCAAGUCCUUCAACUGGGAUAUGUAGGCAUAAGCAACAUCUAGGAAAGGAGCCCAAAUCUGUACAUUGGAGGGCCUCAUUGGCAUAUUGUAACCUUUUGCAAUUGGAUUUCUUGAGUUUAGGAUGUCAAAGAGCUUUUCUUGCAUUGUGAACAUAUUACACAUGAAUGGGACUUAACGAGCUUUAUUAACAUAAAGUUUACUUGCAGGUGAAAAGACUUGUCUGUUAGUACAAUUCAAUGCUUUGCAUUUAGGCAUGAUUCAAAGAAAACAAAACAAUGUCUAAGCGAAACAAUUUAUUUGCAUGUGAUAAUAGCCACCAUGGGAUUUGUUUUGGGAAUGGUUUAAUGGCUGCUGAACUGUAUCAUGUGACCUCAUUGUCAGGAGCUAGAAGCACAAUCCAGGUCACUUAUAGAUCAAUGACUGUUAUGCUACAUUAUAAAUGGUUUUAAUAAUCUGUAUCUUAUUUUCUGUUAAAUCAUAGUUUUAACAUUUUAGGAAAUGUGACAAGAAAAGACUUUUGAAAUAUUUUGUGAAUGUGAACCUAAAGGUCAUACUUAAUAUAUAAAUGAGAGUUGAAACUUGAAACCAACUUUAUUUCAGUACCUGUAACUACAUCCUAUCAUUUCUGAGCCAUAUACCUAGCACAACCAAGCUUUAGGUUUUAAGGUUAGAGAUACUUGGAAUUCAUUAUGCUGCUGAACAAAGUCCACUCUUUCAGUUUGAAUUGUUAUAACUGUGAUAGUCAUCUCAUUGUUUGGGUAAGAAUAGUUGCUGAAAUGGUAGAUGUUGCUGACUGGUUGCCCUUUCUCUUGGUCAGCAGUUCUAAAUUUGGGGUGGCUGUGUGUGUAAAAUAUACUAUAUGGUCUUUUUUUGCUUUUUGUUUUUAAGUUUGAGAAGAUGAACAAGUAUUUUACACUUACAUGCAUUUCAAGUGCUUACUAUGUUCAAUGUGUGUAUAUACCAGUUGCAACCUUAUUCUUACGUUCAUUCGUCUUCAGUAUUACUGAACUCUCCAACAACAGGAGUUGCUGGAUAGUUCCUUAAUCAUACACUAAUGUGUUCUCUAGUGACAUCAGUCGUGUAGAUGUUUAGGAAUACCUGGUAGCUGUGUCCUUACUAUUUUUAUGUUUGAUAUGAAAGUAAUAAUUUCAAACUGGAAAAAUUGAUCCUAUUGUAAGAAGUAUAUAAUGGUUAAUUCUCUCAGUCUUAUCCAGAACUUUUCCAGAUUCAACUAGUGCUUUAAACAGAUAGAGGAGUGCUGUCUCUUACUUUGUGCACACAUUGAUUGUAUUUUAUUGGUUUGUUCUCUUGUGUAUCAGAAUUAAUAAACAUUAUUUUGUGUUAUUGUAAA
rnacentral:misc_RNA from 1 species